UAACAAACUAAGGGAAUAAGUAAGCCAGGAACUAGGAAAUAAAGCGAGAAGCUAAGUAAUAAAAAGUCGAACAAUUGAAGUGGGCGUGGCAAGCGGUAGGAGUCCGAGUGGGCAGCUCACACUGGCUGUCUGCCGCCGCUUGCCACUCGCUGGACAAAAACAAAGCCGUACGAAAAUUGGUCCAUUUUUUGCUGUUGUUGUUUCUGUGCAGUAAAUAUUUUCAGCAAGCACAAAGCUGAAAUCACAUUUGGCGCCGAGGUGCGAGUGUGCGAUUUAGGACGUGGCUGGCCAGCCAGCCAGCCAGCCAGACAGGCAGCAAGGAUGACGGGAGGAUACCUGAACACAAAGCAGAGCAAAGGACACGAGUCAAUAGCGAAAAAAAGCAAAUAGAGAUUUCCAUUUGCUGCCCCAGCACGCGCCCUGACUAAAUUAUGAUACAGUUUUAGCACUUAUAUAUAUAAUUUUAGCCACAGACAGGACAGGACAGGCACAGGCACAGGCAC